GGUAGCCCUUAUCAAAGCUGCAGCCGCUUCCACAUAGCAGCUCUGGUCAAAAGGGAGCCGAGAGUGACAAUUGUCCUUGAUGGCUGCCUUUCUCUAUAACUGAUCUGCAACAUGUCAGGAAAAGACAGUC
ensembl:snoRNA